rnacentral:rRNA from 1 species
UACGUAGGGUGCGAGCGUUAAUCGGAAUUACUGGGCGUAAAGCGUGCGCAGGCGGCUUCCUAAGUCAGAUGUGAAAUCCCCGGGCUUAACCUGGGAACUGCGUCCAAGACUGGGAGGCUUGAAUCCGGGAGAGGGAUGCGGAAUUCCAGGUGUAGCGGUGAAAUGCGUAGAUAUCUGGAGGAACACCGGUGGCGAAGGCGGCAUCCUGGACCGGUAUUGACACUGAGGCGCGAAAGCCAGGGGAGCAAACGGG